rnacentral:rRNA from 1 species
GACGAACGCUGGCGGCGUGCUUAACACAUGCAAGUCGAACGGAAAGGCCCUGCUUUUGUGGGGUGCUCGAGUGGCGAACGGGUGAGUAGCACGUGAGUAACCUGCCCUUGACUUUGGGAUAACUUCAGGAAACUGGGGCUAAUAUCGGAUAGGAGCUCCUGCUGCAUGGUGGGGGUUGGAAAGUUUCGGCGGUUGGGGAUGGACUCGCGGCUUAUCAGCUUGUUGGUGGGGUAGUGGCUUACCAAGGCUUUGACGGGUAGCCGGCCUGAGAGGGUGACCGGCCACAUUGGGACUGAGAUACGGCCCAGACUCCUACGGGAGGCAGCAGUGGGGAAUAUUGCACAAUGGGCGGAAGCCUGAUGCAGCAACGCCGCGUGCGGGAUGACGGCCUUCGGGUUGUAAACCGCUUUCGCCUGUGACGAAGCGUGAGUGACGGUAAUGGGUAAAGAAGCACCGGCUAACUACGUG